CCAGGGUGCCCACACACCUCUGGCGGAGGGCACCCGGCCCCUCUCACCUUUUCCAGAUGGGGUCUCACUAUGUUGCCCAGAUUGGUCUCGAACUCCUGGCCUCAAGAAAUCCUCCUGUCUCGGACUCCCAAGUAGCUGGGAUUACAGGCAUGAGCCAUCACACCUAGCAGGGCUAUCAGGACAAGAGCUGUGAGGGAUACAUCCUCCUUGGAGCGUUGGUAGCCACCCUGUGGAUGCAGAGUCCCAUCUGUAAUUCCCUCAGCAU